rnacentral:sRNA from 1 species
CGACCAAAAUUAUCACCUCAUAAUACUCAAAGAAUGUUUCCUUAUUCCUUAUAUAUUUUCCCAAAGUUCUGCGACAUGUACCUGCAUAAAGUAUUUUACCACGAAAGUGAUAAUUAUAUUAAUUUACUUCCGUAUACAUGUAGUAUUUUAUGAUUCAUGGGGGAUAGGAAGGUAGCGAAAUAGCAGAAAAAAUACAUAACCCGCGUCUGAUGGUUGUUAAUGUUAUUUAAUUUUUUCUUCAAUGAUAGCUACCUUCAUAACCCGCAUUAAUCAUCAAAGGAAGCAUUUUUAUAUUGUUUAUAUUUACAUCUUUCUAUGAACAAACUAAUGAAUUGAUCGAUCGU